UUCUUGGAGAGUUUGAUCCUGGCUCAGGACGAACGCUGGCGGCGUGCCUAAUACAUGCAAGUCGAGCGAAUCAAUAGGAGCUUGCUCCUGUUGGUUAGCGGCGGACGGGUGAGUAACACGUGGGCAACCUGCCUGUAAGACUGGGAUAACACCGGGAAACCGGUGCUAAUACCGGAUAAUCCUUUUCCUCUCAUGAGGAAAAGCUGAAAGUAG
rnacentral:rRNA from 1 species